rnacentral:rRNA from 1 species
GUUUUUUGUUUUUAUAAAGAAUAAUACCUGCUCGGUGAAAAAUUUUAACAGCCGCAGUAAGUUGACUGUGCUAAGGUAGCAUAAUCAUUUGUCUUUUAAUUGAGGACUUGUAUGAAUGGUUUGACGAAAAAAUAAUUGUUUCUUAUAUUACGAAAAGACCCUAUUAAGUUUAAUAAAUUUAAUUUUUAUUUUGGGUAAUAAGACUUUUUUUUAUUUGGCUGGGGUGGUAAAAAUAGAAUAUCUUUUUCUAUUUUGUUAAUUUAUUAAUUUAUUUUUUGAUCUUUUGAUUUUAACUACUAGAUUAAAUUGCUCUGGGGAUAACAGCAUAAUUUAUUUGGAAAGUUCAAAUUGAUAAAUAAGAUUGUGACCUCCAUGUUGGGCUAAAAAUUCUACUUUUUAAUGAAGUAGUUAAAAGAGUAAGUCUGUCCGCCUUUUAAAUUUUUACA